AACGUAGGAGGCGAGCGUUAUCCGGAUUCACUGGGCGUAAAGCGCGUGCAGGCGGUUCGGUAAGUUGGGCGUGAACUCUCCUGGCUUAACUAGGAGAGGUCGUCCAAUUCUACCGGGCUAGAGAGUGGUAGAGGAAGAUGGAAUUCCCGGUGUAGUGGUGACAUGCGUAGAUUUCGGGAGGAACACCAGUGGCGAAAGCGAUCUUCUGGACCAUUUCUGACGCUCAGACGCGAAAGCUAGGGUAGUAAACGGG
rnacentral:rRNA from 1 species